rnacentral:rRNA from 1 species
UGGGGAAUCUUGGACAAUGGGCGCAAGCCUGAUCCAGCCAUGCCGCGUGAGUGAAGAAGGCCUUAGGGUUGUAAAACUCUUUCGCCGGAGAAGAUAAUGACGGUAUCCGGAGAAGAAGCCCCGGCUAACUUCGUGCCAGCAGCCGCGGUAAUACGAAGGGGCGUAGCGUUGUUCGGAAUUACUGGGCGUAAAGCGCACGUAGGCGGGUUUGUAAGUAGGGGUGAAAUCCUGGCUCAACCCAGGAACUGCCUUCUAGACUGCAAGCCUGGAGGUCAGGAGAGGCGAGUGGAAUACCGAGUGUAGAGGUGAAAUUCGUAGAUAUUCGGUGGAACACCAGUGGCGAAGGCGACUCGCUUGGACUGAUACUGACGCUGAGGUGCGAAAGCGUGGGGAGCAAACA